CGCGGCCUAUCAGCUUGUUGGAGAGGUAACGGCUCACCAAGGCAUCGACGGGUAGCUGGUCUGAGAGGAUGAUCAGCCACACUGGAACUGAGACACGGUCCAGACUCCUACGGGAGGCAGCAGUGGGGAAUCUUGCACAAUGGGCGCAAGCCUGAUGCAGCAACGCCGCGUGCGGGAAGACGGCCCUAGGGUUGUAAACCGCUUUCAGGAGGGAAGAAAAUGACGGUACCUCCAGAAGAAGGUGCGGCCAACUACGUGCCAGCAGCCGCGGUGACACGUAGGCACCAAGCGUUAUCCGGAUUUAUUGGGCGUAAAGAGCUCGUAGGCGGUUCGGUAAGUCGGGUGUGAAAAUCCAAGGCUCAACCUUGGGACGCCACCCGAUACUGCUGUGACUCGAGUGCAGUAGGGGAGCAGGGAAUUCCUGGUGUAGCGGUGAAAUGCGCAGAUAUCAGGAGGAACACCAGUGGCGAAGGCGCUGCUCUGGGCUGUAACUGACGCUGAGGAGCGAAAGCAUGGGUAGCAAACAGGAUUAGAUACCCUGGUAGUCCAUGCCGUAAACGUUGGGCACUAGGUGUGGGUCUCAACCAACGAGAUCCGCGCCGUCGCUAACGCAUUAAGUGCCCCGCCUGGGGAGUACGG
rnacentral:rRNA from 1 species